rnacentral:rRNA from 1 species
AAAUUGAAGAGUUUGAUCAUGGCUCAGAUUGAACGCUGGCGGCAGGCCUAACACAUGCAAGUCGAACGGUAACAGGAAACAGCUUGCUGUUUCGCUGACGAGUGGCGGACGGGUGAGUAAUGUCUGGGAAACUGCCCGAUGGAGGGGGAUAACUACUGGAAACGGUAGCUAAUACCGCAUAACGUCGCAAGACCAAAGAGGGGGACCUUCGGGCCUCUUGCCAUCGGAUGUGCCCAGAUGGGAUUAGCUAGUAGGUGGGGUAACGGCUCACCUAGGCGACGAUCCCUAGCUGGUCUGAGA